AAAGGAAAGUAAAGGCUAAGGAGAAGAAACCAUAUACUCCAUUCCCUCCUCAGCCACCAAGCAAGGUGUCCUCAAGAGUACUGGGAAGAAUGCCGACAAGCCAAAAAAAUGGAGAGACUUUAACAAAUUAAGGAGUACUAGGAGUUGCAGUCCCUCCUCUUCAUCAACAUCUAAGUAGAAAAUCUCGUGUUAUAUUGUUCUACCUUUAUUUUAAUAGUGUUAUCAUUUUGUUGGUUACUUAUGAAAUUUCUUCAGAAUGUUAUAGAUA